GACGAACGCUGGCGGCGUGCUUAACACAUGCAAGUGGAGCGACGAACCGGGGGCUUGCCCCGGGGCAGAGCCGCGAACGGGUGAGUAACACGUGGGUAACCCACCCCGACUGACCGGGACGAACCCGACGGAAACUACGGGCGUAAUACCGGAUGUGCUCCUUGACCUCGAGGUCAAGGCGUAAAGAUAGCUUCGGCCUUCGCAUCGGGACGGGCCCG
rnacentral:rRNA from 1 species